GACGAACGCUGGCGGCGUGCCUAAUACAUGCAAGUUGAGCGAUGAAGCUUGGUGCUUGCACCAAUUUGAAGAGCAGCGAACGGGUGAGUAACGCGUGGGGAAUCUGCCUUUGAGCGGGGGACAACAUUUGGAAACGAAUGCUAAUACCGCAUAACAACUUUAAACAUAAGUUUUAAGUUUGAAAGAUGCAAUUGCAUCACUCAAAGAUGAUCCCGCGUUGUAUUAGCUAGUUGGUGAGGUAAAGGCUCACCAAGGCGAUGAUACAUAGCCGACCUGAGAGGGUGAUCGGCCACAUUGGGACUGAGACACGGCCCAAACUCCUACGGGAGGCAGCAGUGGGGAAUCUUCGGCAAUGGACGAAAGUCUGACCGAGCAACGCCGCGUGAGUGAAGAAGGUUUUCGGAUCGUAAAACUCUGUUGGUAGAGAAGAACGUUGGUGAGAGUGGAAAGCUCAUCAAGUGACGGUAACUACCCAGAAAGGGGCGGCUAACUACGUG
rnacentral:rRNA from 1 species